GACGAACGCUGGCGGCGUGCUUAACACAUGCAAGUCGAACGGUAAGGCCCUUCGGGGUACCCGAGUGGCGAACGGGUGAGUAACACGUGGGUGAUCUGCCCUGCACUUCGGGAUAAGCCUGGGAAACUGGGUCUAAUACCGGAUAGGACCACUGCCUGCAUGGGUGGCGGUGGAAAGCUUUUGCGGUGUGGGAUGGGCCCGCGGCCUAUCAGCUUGUUGGUGGGGGGAUGGCCUACCAAGGCGACGACGGGUAGCCGGCCUGAGAGGGUGACCGGCCACACUGGGACUGAGAUACGGCCCAGACUCCUACGGGAGGCAGCAGUGGGGAAUAUUGCACAAUGGGCGCAAGCCUGAUGCAGCGACGCCGCGUGAGGGAUGACGGCCUUCGGGUUGUAAACCUCUUUCAGCACCGACGAAGCGCAAGUGACGGUAGGUGCAGAAGAAGGACCGGCCAACUACGUGCCAGCCGCCGCAGUAA
rnacentral:rRNA from 1 species